CCCAGACUCCUACGGGAGGCAGCAGUGGGGAAUAUUGCACAAUGGGGGAAACCCUGAUGCAGCGACGCUGCGUGAAGGAAGAAGUAUUUCGGUAUGUAAACUUCUAUUAGCAGGGAAGAAAAUGACGGUACCUGACUAAGAAGCCCCGGCUAACUACGUGCCAGCAGCCGCGGUAAUACGUAGGGGGCAAGCGUUAUCCGGAUUUACUGGGUGUAAAGGGAGCGUAGGCGGUGAUGCAAGUCAGAAGUGAAAGCCCGCAGCUCAACUGCGGGACUGCUUUUGAAACUGUAUGACUAGAUUGCAGGAGAGGUAAGUGGAAUUCCUAGUGUAGCGGUGAAAUGCGUAGAUAUUAGGAGGAACACCAGUGGCGAAGGCGGCUUACUGGACUGUAAAUGACGCUGAGGCUCGAAAGCGUGGGGAGCAAACAGGAUUAGAUACCCUCGUAC
rnacentral:rRNA from 1 species